rnacentral:miRNA from 1 species
UCCAGGCAGGAGCCGGACUGGA